GGAGAGUUUGAUCCUGGCUCAGGG
rnacentral:rRNA from 1 species